CACAGAUGAAAAAGACUGCUAGAAUAGAGUUUUGGCAUUAGGGAAUACUAUCUGCAGCAGGGUCAGCUCUGAAUGACUCACUACUGAGAAAAGAAAAGAAAAGAAAAGAAAAGAAAAGAAAAGAAAAGAAAAGAAAAGAAAAGAAAAGAAAAGAAAAGAAAAGAAAAGAAAAACUGCAGCAAGGACUAGAGCUUCUGUGUGAAAGCAACUUUAGUAACAAGAAUGUUCAAAACUAGAUUAUUCCCCUGCUUAAUCAUUAACCUUUGUUUUCCUCUGGGGACCUGAAGAGUAUUUUUUAAAAAGAGCUCAGAGAAUUAGAGGGGAUUUAUUCGCACUUUAAGAUAAAAUAGUUGACUCAAGCUUAGGCAUAUGAGGAGAUGUGAAAACUUCUGAUGUCCAGUUCUGUCAACAAUACUGGAUAAAAUGGUGAGAAGGAACACCCCAUGGAAGACAUGCAGUGACAGCAGACAAAAUCUCUGGAUACUACAUCACAGCAAUGGCCCCUCCAGAAGACACAGAGCUAGCAUGAAGUUCACAGGACUUGGGGCUAUAGCCUGCCAUCACUAUAGAAGAAAGAGUUUUUGCAUGAAACACAAUAUAUUUCAAUCACAAGGAAUAGUAUUCAAGGCAUGCAACCACAGGAUAUGAGCUUC
rnacentral:lncRNA from 1 species